ensembl:lncRNA
CCCGGCCGCGCCCUCGGCUUUCACCCCCUUGGCUGGGCUCGCGUUUGGUUUUAUUUUUGUGUUUUAAGUGAACAAUCAAUUGCCCCAGGAGGCAAAAGAGUCCUCAGCGACUUGGCUGAGCAACUUAAACUUUCUGCCGGAAGGAAACUAUCAAAGGCGGAGGAGAAAGCCCUCGGGGCCCCAGACUCGCAGCCACUGCCCCGUCCCCGCCGGGGGUCCCCGCGAGGCCGCCGCGGAUCCGGGGACUCGCGGGCCGGGAGGAAAGAGCAGAAAAAGCCCGGGGCAGGCUCGGCCCCGGACCCCGGCAGGAAGCCAGGUUGAAGCUACCCCAUACCCAAGUAACCCCAUCCAAUGGGAAAUUCCAAAUCAAGGCCUCCAAAGAGGGAUUUCUGUGUUUAGCUGUUUACCCACCCAUUCGGCGAGUAGCAGACCCUGACUGUGCUAGACACUGGAAGAAUGGCCGAUGGAGGAAGAGGACCCACGCCAAAGUCGAGCAGUAAAGGAAAGAGACAAACAUAUAAACGGGAGACUAUUGUAUGAUGUGAAAUGUCUGAGGCUUGGUGUAGUUGCUUCAUUUUGGUAACUCUUCUCAUUCAAGAAAUGAGUAUAAAUUCCAGAGACUCCAAACCUUGAAUUCAACUGAAACCAACCCCAAGUAAAGGAGAAGAUGCUCAGGAUGGCUGGAGUUUGAACCUAGUCAACUGGUAGGUGAGUGUGUGUGUUUGUGAUGGGGGGAAAAUCUGGGUUUUGUUUGAAUUCCCAAGACUGCCCUAGAUGAGGAAGAAACUAAUACAGACUCUUCCUAAUCUGAAGUGCCUCUAAGAAUAUUUGUGUACAAGUUGAGUAUCCGUCAUCCAAAAUGCUUGGGACCAGGAGUGUUUCUCCGAUUUUGGAAUAUUCGCAUUAUACUUACCAGUGGAGCACUUCUAAUCCGAAAAUCCUGAAUCCCAAAUGCUCCAGUGAGCAUUUCUUUUGAGCAUUGUGUCAGCAGUCAAAAAGUUUCUAAUUUUGGAGCAUUUUGGAUUUCAAAUUAGGGAUGCUUAACCUGUACUAAGAGUACCGAACUACUGUACUGAGUUGCCUUAAGGCUCCAAUUACAUUAGACCUCUUGCAAAUUUUAUUUCUACUGAGGUUAUUAUUGUUUAAAAAAAAAAAUUUUUCAACAACAUUAAAGAUUUAAUUGGCUUUUGUUACUGAUUCAUGAAUCAGGCAGCGUCCCAUCCAAAAACUGAGAAAAUAUGUUCCAAUAAGCCAGGCAAAGGACUGGGCUUUGUAGGCAGGAAAGACUGAAGAAGCAGAAACAGGGAACAAAAGGCAGAUUGGCGUUUUAGAGUUACUUCUCUUGCAGGGUUAAAGCAUGGGGGACUUCCUCAUCAAACCUGCUCAGGUAAACUGGUCCUUUUGAUUGGCUGCUGUGCAUCUCUUAUUUUUUGGAAAGCUGCCCUUUUUAAAGUUCAGCUGGACAGCCUGGCACCUAGCAGGAAUGACUCCAUUCUGGUUUGGUCUGGUCCAUUGGGCCUAGUGUAAGAGUUCAGUCCAAAACAGUGGCCUCCCAUACAUUUUAUUUAACAUUAUUCUUGAACUACUAUUCUCCUUGCUGUCCCUGGGCUUUCCCAAUUACCAAUAUAACAGAGCCUGUUCUGAAUCAUCCAUAAUCCAAUCCUUCGCAUAGCACAUAUUCUGCUCUCUGAAAAUAUGGGGUGAGUGGGUGGGUGAGAGAGUGAGUUCACCGACCCGACUGAUAAAUCCCAAGCAUGGAGGGUAGAAAGGGCCCUCUGACAUCAGACGGAACCAAGUUUACAUGCAGGCUCCUUUAUGCCCAAUUUGUGUGAAUUUAAGGAAGUAUCUGAGACUCUUCAACCCGUAGUUCCAUCCUCUGUCAAAGAUGGAUACUGAAAGGCUGUUGCAUUAUUUUGGGGGAGGGUUACACACAUGUGGGGUAUGUGUGUGUGAAUAGCAAGUCCAGAUGACAAAGCAUCCUAGUUUGCAUGGGACUGUCCAGGUUUUAGUCCUGGCUGUCCCUCAUUCUGGGAAACUUCAGUCCCACGUAAACUGCAAUUGUUGUCACCUUGUCCCCUUCCCUAGGC